CCUGCACAGGCACGGGUUAAUAGGGAAUUCAUUUACCCCAUGUUUAAUGCAUGAGCCUCGGUACAGAUGUGAUGAUACACACUGACACAUUACAUUGACACCCCUUCUGCUGGCCUUCAGACUGCCAGAGAUAAGGAGCCCAGCAGCGGCGCGGACUCGCGGGGGCAGAGCGGUCGCGAGCCAGGUAGCCCGUGCAAGUACACAUGCAGCGCGGUUGGCAAGGUACGGCGCGAAAGAAGUCCAUCAAACACGCUGUACAACACGCCCACGUGUCGAGGGGGUGGGAUGGAGGAGAGCCCAUUGUCAAAGUGCCGAGUGAGCCCCUCGACGUUUUGCCGACCAGUCAGUGCGAGUUCUCAAAUGAGCCGUUGAAGCGGCGUUCACCUCCUGUUUAACUACUCCGAGAGAGCGGUGGAAAUUCCACAUUCCUAUGGCGUGGGUGAGAAGAUGAAUGGAGAAUGCUAUAAAGAAGGGACAUUUUUUUACUGAAGCGUAGCAUGUUAUAUGUAUCUAUGUAUAUGUUCUUCUUCUUUAGGGCCAAAUGGUGCUUUUGACGAAUGUGUUGAGUGUUUUGUGUUCACUGCGCUUGUGCACAACUUCCAACGAAGCAGCAGCACCACAUAAUUCGUUUGAUCUCCAAAUUACAGAUGAUCUAAAAUGCUGCUAUCCUCCUUAUCACCCGCACCAUGAAAUGAGACCGCAUAUCCCCAACACUGAAAUCCCUGCACCUGCUCCCAACCCAAUCCCGGAUUAGUUUCAAGAUCGCACUCAAGGUUUUUAAGGUCCUCCGUGAAGUUGCCCCUGCCUACCCCUCCCCUCUCAU